AGAGUUUGAUCCUGGCUCAGGAUGAACGCUGGCGGCGUGCUUAACACAUGCAAGUCGAACGGUGAACACGGAGCUUGCUCUGUGGGAUCAGUGGCGAACGGGUGAGUAACACGUGAGCAACCUGCCCCUGACUCUGGGAUAAGCGCUGGAAACGGCGUCUAAUACUGGAUAUGUGACGUGAUCGCAUGGUCUGCGUCUGGAAAGAAUUUCGGUUGGGGAUGGGCUCGCGGCCUAUCAGCUUGUUGGUGAGGUAAUGGCUCACCAAGGCGUCGACGGGUAGCCGGCCUGAGAGGGUGACCGGCCACACUGGGACUGAGACACGGCCCAGACUCCUACGGGAGGCAGCAGUGGGGAAUAUUGCACAAUGGGCGCAAGCCUGAUGCAGCAACGCCGCGUGAGGGACGACGGCCUUCGGGUUGUAAACCUCUUUUAGCAGGGAAGAAGCGAAAGUGACGGUACCUGCAGAAAAAGCGCCGGCUAACUACGUGCCAGCAGCCGCGGUAAUACGUAGGGCGCAAGCGUUAUCCGGAAUUAUUGGGCGUAAAGAGCUCGUAGGCGGUUUGUCGCGUCUGCUGUGAAAUCCGGAGGCUCAACCUCCGGCCUGCAGUGGGUACGGGCAGACUAGAGUGCGGUAGGGGAGAUUGGAAUUCCUGGUGUAGCGGUGGAAUGCGCAGAUAUCAGGAGGAACACCGAUGGCGAAGGCAGAUCUCUGGGCCGUAACUGACGCUGAGGAGCGAAAGGGUGGGGAGCAAACAGGAUUAGAUACCCUGGUAGUCCAA
rnacentral:rRNA from 1 species